rnacentral:rRNA from 1 species
AUAUUUUUCGCCUGUUUAUCAAAAACAUGUCUUUUCGAUUUUUAUGAAAGGUCUAACCUGCCCGAUGUAGUAUAAAUGGCCGCGGUAUUUUGACCGUGCGAAGGUAGCAUAAUAAAUAGUCCAUUAAUUGUGGUCUGGGAUGAAUGGUUCGACGAAGAGUAACUUUCUUAUUAUUAUUGUUGAAUUUAAGUUGUUAGUGAGAACGCUAACAUAUAUUAGAUGGACAAGAAGACCCUAUAGAGCUUUAUAUUUAUCUGAAUUUUGGUGGCAUUUAUAUUUAGUAUAUAUUUUGUUGGGGCGACAUUAAAUAUUAAACAUUUAAUUUAAUUUCUUUUUUAAAGGUGUUUUGAUCCAUUAUUAAUGAUUUAAGAACAAGUUACCUUAGGGAUAACAGCGUAAUUUUGUCUUAGAGUUCUUAUCGAUGACAAAGUUUGCGACCUCGAUGUUGGAUUAAAAUUCCUAUAAGGCGCAAGAGUUUUAUAAGGCAGUCUGUUCGACUGUUGAAAUUUUACAUGAUCUGAGUUCAAACCGGUGUAAGCCAGGUUGGUUUCU